AGAUGCUUUAACUGGUGCAUUCACAUUACAGCAAGAGACGGGGAGCGCUGCGCAUUCGUAGACAGCAGCAAAUUGUCUUGUGAUAGGCUGGGAUUAAAUCGAUGGGUUGCUGCGCAAUUUAGAAGACCCUGUUCCACAAUUAAAAGUCUUUCACCGUUCUCUUACACAAAAGGGGAUAAAGUUCAAACUCAUUCAACCAUUCCUUAUAACUCUAGGUACUCAGUUCCUGCCAGCAUUCUUGUCUCAGAGCUCUUAAGGGGGAGGAUGAGCAGCCAGAGGUCAUGAUACAUAUUAAUACCAAUGACAUAGCUAGGAAAAGGGAGGAGGUCCUGAAGAGAAGAUAUAGGGAGUUAGGUAGUAAGCUAUAAAGCAGGAGCUCAAGAGUAGGAAUCUCUGGGUUGCUGCCUGUGCGAUGCACCAGUGAGGAUAAGAAUAGCAUGAUAUUGCAGAAGCAUUAUCGCUCCCCAUCAAAAAAACCUUGAGUGCAGGAUGGAUGACUGAUACAACUUCGAUGGAUCAAACUUGAUUUGGCCAACUGCCCAAACCCUUUGGCAUUAGACCAUAAACACAGGAAAUUAUGCAGAAGCUGGAAAUCAGAGCCAUAAGACCAUAAGGCAUGGGAGCAGAAUUAGGCCAUUUGGCCCAUCAAGUCUGCUCUGCUAUUCAAUCAUGGCUGACCCUUGUUUCCCCUCCUCAGCCCAGCCUUUUCCCUGUAACCUUUGAUGCCAUGUCCAAUCACAAACUUAUCAAGCUCUGCCUUAAAUACAUCCAAUGAGCUGCCCUCCACAGCUACCUGUGGUAACAAAUUCCACAAAUUCACCACCUUCUGACUAAAGAAAUUUCUCUGCAUCUGUUUUAAAUGGAUGCCCUUCUACCCUGAGGCUGUGCCCUCUUGUCCUAGACUCCCCCAGCAUGGGAAACGUCCUUUCCACAUCUACAUUGUCUAGGCCUUUCAACAUUUGGAAGGUUUCAAUGAGAUUCCUCCCUCGUCUUUCUAAAUUCCAGUGAGUAUUGACCCAGCGUUAUCAAACAUUGAUUGUAGGAUAACCCUUUCAUUCCCGGAGUCAUUCCUGAGAACCUCUUCUGGACCCUCACCAAUGCCAGCACAUCUUUUCUUAGAUGAGGAGCCCAAAACUGUUCACAAUACUCCAGUUUCACAGAGAAGAAAUCUCAUUAAAAACUCUGAAGAAAGCUUUUGUCUGGGGUGAUCUUCGAGGAGUUAUUUAGCUCACUGCAUAGCUGUGUACAUACACGCAAUGAGGGCAGUAGAGUGAAGACUCAGCUUGCCUUCAAAGACGUUGCCUGCAGACUGGAGCCUUGUUGAAUGCCAUAGACAGUAAUGUAAACUUCUGACCAGAACAAGGUCUAUUGCCAAGACCUGGAGUCAGGUCAGAUUGUGGUGUGUCAAACACAUCAUCGCGACACUCAAGCAAAAACCACUAACAGCAGAUCUGCAGCACAAACCCAUGCAAAACUGGAAGUUUUGGGAAAGAGAGCAGCUUAUGCUAAAUGUGAAGGUAAGAUGCAAAUGGAGAAGACACGUACAUUAAGUGCACUCACGGAGGAGUGUGAAGCCAAGCUUGCCUCAGCAGAGCUGAAGGUGUAUCGAGCAGCAGCUGACUUAGUGAGUUUGAGUGAUUUACGGUGGAUGCAACAAUGCUGGACUAAAGAUAAUUUUCAAAUAAGAAGUUCUUUGUGAGGUGUUCUUUGAUAUAUUCUAACAUACAGGUUUGUGAAUGUUGGGGUCUGUAUCUGCCUUGUGUGAUUUGAGCAGGUUAUUGAUUGAGAACAAUGAGCCAUAAAUCACUAGUUGUCAGUUGAGGGAAGAGGGCAAUAAAUGGAUGCUGGCUUGGAGCAGAGCCAAGAAGAAGAUGUUAAAGGUCAGUCACAUGACCCAUAGCAAAUAACACUGAAAUGCAACAUUUGAAUUGGUAAGGAAUGAAUAUAAAAGCAGACGAUUCGAGUGUGCUUGCAGUGGAUGACACUCCAGAGACCCACCAUUGUGAAUGUGGAGAUUUGGAACAGUACUUUGAAGAACACAACUUCAGCAGAGUCUCCAUUUUACUAAAGUUACCUUUUCUAUUUGACUGUUCACGGUGGGCCAGGAAGACUUAGAAGGUGUGCAUACGGGUGUU